UGUUGCGCGUGUCUGCGUUGACCGAGGGGCAGAGCACGUUGCGCCCAAAAAUGCGGACAGAGAAGGUUUCUGACAGAUUAAUCUCUAGCGGCUACUUAGUCUAACUUCCCUUUCGCAGCAAACCCGAGUGUCGUCGUAGCCCCCAGAGCAGGGCUGGGGGAAGCGGUACCUGCGGGUUGCGCGUUCUCGUUUACCUUGCGCGCGUGCGCGCGCGCGUGUUUGCGUUAGAGCUGCUUUUGUGCUUAGAAGCACCUUUGGAUUCUUACGAUUUUCCGCAGAGCUUUGCUUUGCUCCGUACUUUCGUAGGGUGAUGGAUUUUACGGUGCCUGCGUCGACAGGUGCUGGCCGGCUAAGUUGUAAUGUCCCGAGGGAGACCCUUAGGCGAGGCCGAGGCGCUCGGGGAGGGAGCCUGCCGGAAGAACGUCGCCCGGGAGGGGUCGGCGGCCUCGAGCUGUAGGCGCUGACGCGCGUGGCUCCUUCUGUCGGACGCAGAGAGGUUGCGGAAACUUUAGCUCGGCUUUACGCCGUACGGCGGUAGUAUUUUUGUGUUUCUAAAUUGCGUUAAUCCUCGGCAUUCUGAACAGCAGGGAACGACGACGGGCCGUCGUGAAGAACUGCAGGCUGCCGCCCUCCGACCUCGGCAGGUGACGCGCCGAGAGCAGCCGAUUCGGGAGAAUCCGAAUGCCGGUCUUGGCGAGUUCUCUGCCUGUUGCCGACGAGGAGCCUUUGACAGUAGGAAGCACACCUGCUUCUAGUCUCAGUUGAAGGACGGGUCGCCUAGCUCAGCGUCUAACAAACCCCACAACCGGUGGCCCGGUCGCUAUGGCGCUGCUGUUGCUAGCAGAGCCACCAGGUCUGUGUGAAGCCUUAGGUGCCUGCGUGGAGCAGUGUUUUGGUCACUCACCUGGAAGAAGCAGCGAGGCCUAAAACAAGACUUUGUUGCGGCUACAUGGAGCUGAGUGCUCUCCCUGAAGGUGAAAGCGGAAGGGGUAGGUCGUCGGCUACUCGGACACCUGCCGCGUCAAGGGCGGCAGCGGGAGCUGACCCUUCCCCGACGGACGGACGCCGGUGAGGACUCUGGGUGUCACAAGGGUAGUCCCCGGAAGGGGGCAUCUCCAAGAGAAGCGGCUAGACCCAGCGACCCAGCCGUUCGCUUUGGUCGCCACCUGUGAGGCGAGCAUCCGAGCGCAACGGGAGUCCGGGAGCUGUAUCGAGAAGAGCUGGAACCAACGACAGCAAAUGCUGACGGAGAGGGAAGCCGGACGAACGGCGUGUAGGGGAUUAAUACCCAAGGGACGGGGUUGAAACGAGGAGGCAGAAACGCAGCGGACCCUCGGUAUCCCCAGCAGCUGCCAGGGUAGCGGCAGGUGUUCCGCCACGGGCGA